rnacentral:lncRNA from 1 species
CGAUGUGGAAGCCGAUAGACGCGACAGUGGAGCACGUGUUACGCAAUGUAGGAGGCCUAGCGCCAUAUGCACGCCUAGGAAGUGAUCGCUCAUGAGGUUUUCUUAGCUCUUUCGGCAUCGACGUAGGCCUAAGCAGAUUGUACACCGUAAACAUUCCUUGCUUGCUUGUUGAAGGCAGCGUGGAUUUGCUCACCACCUUGCUCGCUUAGAAGACCUAAUCCAAUGUGCCAUCUCUUAAGGGUGAUUGGAGGCCAUAGAUCCUUAUCAGGAAAUCGUAGUCGCCGAAGAAGAAAAACCUGAUUUUGUAACCUCUUAGAUGAAUGAAAGAAAUUAAAACAAAUAUCAAUUAGUUAAAGGUAACUAUAGUAG